rnacentral:piRNA from 1 species
UGAGAGUCUAGUAAGAAAUUUGGAGAGGUC